UACGUAGGGGGCAAGCGUUGUCCGGAAUCAUUGGGCGUAAAGCGCGUGUAGGCGGUCCGAUUAGUCGGCUGUGAAAGUCAAGGGCUCAACCCUUGAAUGCCGGUCGAUACUGUCGGACUAGAGUCCGGAAGAGGCAAGUGGAAUUCCUGGUGUAGCGGUGAAAUGCGCAGAUAUCAGGAAGAACACCAAUGGCGAAAGCAGCUUUCUGGGACGGUACUGACGCUGAGACGCGAAAGCGUGGGGAGCGAACAGG
rnacentral:rRNA from 1 species